rnacentral:antisense_RNA from 15 species
GUUUAUGGUGGGGCAGUCAGGAAGACCGCAAGGUCUGCCGGUUUAUGCGCAAGCUCCUUUCCCGGUUCGCUAAUCCUGCCUGUCCCAUCACCAUG